GACGAACGCUGGCGGCGUGCUUAACACAUGCAAGUCGAACGAAGAGCGAUGGAAGCUUGCUUCUAUCAAUCUUAGUGGCGAACGGGUGAGUAACGCGUAAUCAACCUGCCCUUCAGAGGGGGACAACAGUUGGAAACGACUGCUAAUACCGCAUACGAUCUAAUCUCGGCAUCGAGGAUAGAUGAAAGGUGGCCUCUACAUGUAAGCUAUCACUGAAGGAGGGGAUUGCGUCUGAUUAGCUAGUUGGAGGGGUAACGGCCCACCAAGGCGAUGAUCAGUAGCCGGUCUGAGAGGAUGAACGGCCGCAUUGGGACUGAGACACGGCCCAGACUCCUACGGGAGGCAGCAGUGGGGAAUCUUCCGCAAUGGACGAAAGUCUGACGGAGCAACGCCGCGUGAGCGAUGACGGCCUUCGGGUUGUAAAGCUCUGUUAAUCGGGACGAAAGGCCUUCUUGCGAAUAGUGAGAAGGAUUGACGGUACCGGAAGAGAAAGCCACGGCUAACUACGUG
rnacentral:rRNA from 1 species